rnacentral:misc_RNA from 1 species
UGGCGGGGCAUUUCCCGACACCGAAGAAGGUUUGCGCACGCUGCCAGGCGUAGGCCCUUACACGGCUGCGGCCAUCGCGGCGAUCGCAUUUGAUCGGCAGACCAUGCCGGUGGACGGCAAUAUCGANGCGCGUGGUGUCGCGGCUGUUUGCGGUGGAAGAUCCGCUGCCGAAAUCCAAGCCCCAGAUUCAACAACUGGCGGCGACGCUGCUGUGGGAUUCACGUGCAGGCGACAGUGCGCAGGCGCUGAUGGAUAUUGGCGCCACGAUCUGCACGCCGAAGAAACCUACCUGCGUGCUCUGUCCGUUCAA